rnacentral:rRNA from 1 species
AAAGGUGGUGCGUGGUUGUCCUCAGCUCGUGUUGUGAGAUGUUGGGUUAAGUCCCGCAACGAGCGCACCCCUCGUUCUGUGUUGCCCGCGUAUUAUGGGGGGAGACUCAUGGAGACACUGCCGGGGCUAAUCUGAGAGGAAGGGGGGAGAUUA